CCUACGGGGGGCAGCAGUGGGGAAUAUUGGGCAAUGGGCGCAAGCCUGACCCAGCAACGCCGCGUGAAGGAAGAAGGCUUUCGGGUUGUAAACUUCUUUUAAGAGGGAAGAGCAGAAGACGGUACCUCUUGAAUAAGCCACGGCUAACUACGUGCAAGCAGCAGCGGUAAUACGUAGGGGGCAAGCGGUGUCCGGAUUUACUGGGUGGAAAGGGCGUGCAGCCGGGAAGACAAGACAGAGGUGAAAUCCCGCGGCUCAACCGGGGAACUGCAUUUGAAACUGUUUUUCUAGAGUACCGGAGAGGUCAUCGGAAUUCCAUGUGUAGCGGUGAAAUGCGUAGAUAUAAGGAAGAACACCAGUGGCGAAGGCGGAUGACUGGACGGCAACUGACGGUGAGGCGCGAAAGCGUGGGGAGCAAACAGGAUUAGAUACCCCGGUAGUC
rnacentral:rRNA from 1 species